rnacentral:lncRNA from 13 species
AUGUAUCAAUACAUUUAUCAUUACAUGUAUCAAUACAUUUAUCAAUACAUGUAUCAAUACAUUUAUCAUUACAUUUAUCAAUACAUUUAUCAAUACAUUUAUCAAUACAUUUAUCAUUACAUUUAUCAAUACAUUUAUCAUUACAUGUAUCAAUACAUUUAUCAAUACAUGUAUCAAUACAUGUAUCAAUACAUUUAUCAAUACAUUUAUCAAUACAUUUAUCAUUACAUGUAUCAAUACAUUUAUCAAUACAUGUAUCAAUACAUUUAUCAAUACAUGUAUCAAUACAUUUAUCAUUACAUGUAUCAAUACAUUUAUCAUUACAUGUAUCAAUACAUUUAUCAAUACAUGUAUCAAUACAUUUAUCAAUACAUGUAUCAAUACAUUUAUCAAUACAUUUUUUUAAAGUUCUGUAUUUUAGAUCUGCAUGGGAGGUGGUUUCUCCGGACUGACUGGUUUCUGUCAGCUAGUUCUGCCAGACCUAAUAACGUCUGGUUCCAAAUGGAACCCUAUUCCCUAUAUAGUGCACUAGUUUUGAACGGAGCCCUAUGGGCCCUGGUAAAAAAAAAAGAAAAAAAAGUAGUGCACUAUAUAGGGAGUAGAGUUCCAUUUGGGACUCACACUGCAUCUACAGAUUAAACUGUGAAGUCUAGAAACUGUGUGACCUAUUUCUGCCAUCGUAGUUAAUGUUAUGACACUGAAACAAACAGAAACAGGGUACCUCUGUCUGGGUGCCAUUAGGGAGGUAACCAGGGAUACUAGUCUGGUGUUCUCAUUGGCAUCUCUCUGUCUGGGUGCCAUUAGGGAGGUAACCAGGGAUACUAGUCUGGUGUUCUCAUUGGCAUCUCUCUGUCUGGGUGCCAUUAGGGAGGUAACCAGGGAUACUAGUCUGGUGUUCUCAUUGGCAUCUCUCUCUCUCUCUCUGUGUCCUAGUCUAAUAAAGUCUACAAUCACUACAAGGUUACAGAGUGGAAUUCAACCGUUCAACAUCACUAUACCUUUAAACGUCUGUGCCAAAGCUCCGAGUGAAAUGAUAUGCAUGACAGUAGCCAGAUAUCUGUCCAUUCAUUCCUCAUUCUGCCACUCAACGGAAUGUUGACUGACAGCGGAAUGUUCCACGCUGGGUUUGGUUAAAGUUCCGGAACACUUGUAAUGUUGUGCUCCAGAGUAACAGUGGUAGGAAGUGACGGUAUUUAUUCCACAUUAUUACAGACAACAACAUGGUGUCUACCAUAUCGCCCUGCAGCACUACACACUGGUAGCUGCACAAUUCACACGGCAGGGCACAACACUAUUAACACAGCUAUUCAUUUGACAUUUAUCAGUUUCACUUCACGAUUGUGUGUGUGUGUGUGUGUGUGUGUGUGUGUGUGUGUGUGUGUGUGUGUGUGUGUGUGUGUGUGUGUGUGUGUGUGUGCGCCUGUGUGUGUUAUUGUUGUUGAUAUGGCACACAGCCCCACAGAGAACAGCUACACAACAUAACAACACAACAACACCUCAACUACAUACAGGAGGAUACUGCUAGGACCAGCUGUGUCUUCCCCAGUAUGCUUCUCUAAGCACUUUCUUGGUCCACUUCUAAGUACACUUUUUAGUGCCCUUCAAAGUACACUGCGGAGUACAAUUCUUAGUGCCCUUUAAAGUGCCCUUGGCAGUGUUUAAGUUUAAAGUCUGUAGUUUGUUCUGUGCCAGGUUCUCAUCCUCCUACAGACGUGUCUCAANNNNNNNNNNUGUGGAGGCUAUAUACAGGGUGUUACGGUACAGAGUCAAUGUGGAGGCUAUAUACAGGGUGUUACGGUACAGAGUCAAUGUGGAGGCUAUAUACAGGGGGUACUGGUACAGAGUCAAUGUGGAGGCUAUAUACAGGGGGUUCCGGUACAGAGUCAAUGUGGAGGCUAUAUACAGGGGGUACCGGUACAGAGUCAAUGUGGAGGCUAUAUACAGGGGGUUCCGGUACAGAGUCAAUGUGGAGGCAAUAUACAGGGGGUUCCGGUACAGAGUCAAUGUGGAGGGCAUAGGUUAGUUGAGGUAAUUGAGGUAAUAUGUACAUGUAGGUAGAGUUAAAGUAACUAUGCACCCUAGUGGGACCCUAGUCCCUAGUGGGACCCUAGUCCAUUUCCCUAGUCCCUCCUGAGUGGCGCAACGGUCUAAGGCACUGUGUCACAGUGCUAGAGGUGUCACUACAGACCCUGGUUCGAUUCCAGGCUGUAUCACAACGGUCUAAGGCACUGUGUCACAGUGCUAGAGGCGUCACUACAGACACUGGUUCGAUUCCAGGCUGUAUCUCAACGGUCUGAGGCACUGCGUCACAGUGCUAGAGGCGUCCCUACAGACCCUACUUCGAUUCCAGGCUGUAUCACAACGGUCUAAGGCACUGUGUCACAGUGCUAGAGGCGUCACUACAGACCCUGGUUCGAUUCCAGGCUGUAUCACAACGGUCUAAGGCACUGGUUCACAGUGCUAGAGGCGUCACUACAGACCCUGGUUCGANNNNNNNNNNAUGUGGAGGCUAUAUACAGGGUGUUACGGUACAGAGUCAAUGUGGAGGCUAUAUACAGGGUGUUACGGUACAGAGUCAAUGUGGAGGCUAUAUACAGGGGGUACUGGUACAGAGUCAAUGUGGAGGCUAUAUACAGGGGGUUCCGGUACAGAGUCAAUGUGGAGGCUAUAUACAGGGGGUACCGGUACAGAGUCAAUGUGGAGGCUAUAUACAGGGGGUUCCGGUACAGAGUCAAUGUGGAGGCAAUAUACAGGGGGUUCCGGUACAGAGUCAAUGUGGAGGGCAUAGGUUAGUUGAGGUAAUUGAGGUAAUAUGUACAUGUAGGUAGAGUUAA